CAUGCAGGCGGUCAGGCGCGUUUUGUGUGACAGCGGAGGGCUUAACUCUCCGAGGAUACGAAAGACGGCGUGACUUGAGAGCGCGAGAGGGACACGGAAUUCCGGGUGGAGUGGUGAAAUGCGUAGAGAUCCGGAGGAACACCGAAGGCGAAGGCAGUGUCCUGGCGCGAAUCUGACGCUGAGGUGCGAAAGCCAGGGGAGCGAACGGGAUUAGAUACCCCGGUAGUCCUGGCCGUAAACGAUGACCACUAGGUGUAGGAGGUAUCGACCCCUUCUGUGCCGAAGUUAACACAGUAAGUGGUCCGCCUGGGGAGUACGGUCGCAAGAUUAAA
rnacentral:rRNA from 1 species